UUAUUAUUAUUUUUUUAAAGCUUUCUAUUUUCAGAACACAUACAUAGUUUCAUUCACCUUUGCAAAACCUUGUGCUUCAAUUUUUUCCCCCUCUCUUCUCCAACCCCUUUCCCAGAAGGCAAAUAAUCCAAUAUAUGUUAAACAUGUGCAAUUUUUCUGUACAUAUUUCUACAAUUAUCAUGCUGCACAAGAGAAAUCAUAUUAAAAAGGAAAAAAAUGAGAAAGAAAAUAAAACACCAGCAAACAACAAUAAAAAAAGUGAAAAUACUCAUUCAUACUCAGUUCCCACAGGCCUUUCUCUGGAUGCAGAUGACUCUCUUCAUCACAAGACCAUUGGAACUAGCCUGAAUCACUUCACUGUUGAAGAGAGCUACAUCCGUCAGAAUUAAUCAUUGUAAAAUCUUGCUGUUGCCAUGUACAACGAUCUCCUGGUUCUGCUCAUUUCACUCAACAUCAGUUCAUGGAAGUUCCAGUGACUUUCCCUCCAUCUCAGAAGCACCCAGGUCCAGGGAGCAUCGGUUUUUGCAAACGAUCCCACACGGGGAAGAUCUUGUUUAUUCUUGAACUACAGAGAAAAACGAGCAAAGAGGUGUUUUGUUUUCGUUUUUGUUUCCCCCCGAAGAAUGAGAGAUGAAAGGAACAACCGCAGGGGUCUGCCACAAAGAACCGACAAUUUUGUAAAACCUGCUCUGCUCUCCCUGGCUCAGCAGCUCCUCCCACACGUCCAUUAGGCUCAUGAUGGCAUGAUGGACAGCCAACCUCAGGUCAUUUCAUUGGGCUGAAAGUGCUAUAAGCUCCCAGACCAGGAGCUGAAGUGCAGAAAGGUGGAGGUGACACAAGGCAAGAAGUCACUAUGUCAUUGGCUCAUAAUGAGCCAGAAUUCUAUUUAUUAAAGUUAUGCUUCUCCACGGGGAGUCUCCUUUGCCUAUUAAGAUGCCUCAGAGCAAUGAACCCAGCCUUAUUUUACCCUGGGAAAGGAGGGAGAAGGACCUAAAGGACCUACUACACCCCGCCCCUACACACACGUCUUUAUUAGUAGGGAAAUGGAGGCAUCAAAAGGUAAAUUGCUUUGCCUCUAAUUUUAAAACAAAUCCACCUCCCAAUUCUCUCCCAAUUGACCUCUUUCCCUGUACUUCUGCCUUUGUCCCUACACAUACACAUUUUUUAUUAGUAGGGAAACUGAGGCAUCAAAAGUAAAUUGCUUUGCCUCUGAUUUUAGAACAAACCUUCACUACAGUUCUCAGCUCCCAAUUAUCUCUUCUACAAGACUAGACCCCUUUCCUUAUAUUUCCACUUGUCUCCUACACACAUCUUUUAUUAGUAAGGAAACUGAGGCAUCAAAAGUAAAUUGCUUUGCUUCUGAUUUUAGAACAGACUCCCCUCCCAAUUCUCAACUCCCAAUUGUCUUUCUACAAGAUUUGACCCCUUUCCCUGUACUUCCAUUUGUCCCUUAUACUUAUCUUUUAUUAGUGGGGAAACUGAGGCAUCAAAACUAAAUUGCUUUGCCUCUGAUUUUAGAAUAAACCUCCACCCCAAUUCUCAACUCCCAAUGAUCUCUUCUACAACAUUAGAUCCCUUUCCCUGUAUUUCCACUUGUCCCCUACACACAUCUUUUAUUAGAAGGGAAAUUGAGGCAUAAAUUGCUUUGUCUCUGAUUUUAGAACAAAUCUAUGUCUUAAUUCUCAAUUCCCAAUUAUCUCUUCUACAAAAUUAGACCCCCUUUCCUAUGCUUCUGCCUCUGCCCCUACACACACACACACACACACACACACACACACACACAUCUUUUAGUAGGGAAAUUAGUAGGGAAACUGAGGCAUCAAAAGCAAAUUGCCUUGCCUCUGAUUUUAAAACAAACUUAUGUCACUAUUCUCACCUCCCAAUUUUCUUUCUACAAGAUUAGACCUCCUUCCUUGUACAUCUGCCUCUAUCUCUGCAUGCAUAUACAUGCUCUGUAUGUGAUUGUCACAACACACUGUCAUCACAAAUACAAAGAGAUGAAGAAUAGGACCUGAGAAAAUGUGGAUUGAGCUUCCAGGAGCUAUUUUUAGAUCCUGCUGAGAAGCUUUAAAAAGGACUUAAACCCAUUUGUGACUUUUUGAACACAAAACAGAAAUAAAAUUCUUCCACCGCUUAGUCUCUCUUCCAAAGUAUUAGAAGUGAAAACAUCCUGGAAGGUUGAACUAGCUUUUGCAGCAUAUCUUUUAUUAGGUCUUCAGCUAGGACUUGCUUGUCUUGUUGGGGUGUUUGUUAAUAUCAGUUCUUCUUUGCCAUCUCUAAAAAUUUCCCAUUGACAUAUUGCCAUUGUAAAGAUAAAGACAAAGAACCCCUAAUAAAAGUCACUUGCCCAUA